GAAAUGCGAUAAGUAAUGUGAAUUGCAGAAUUCCGUGAAUCAUCGAAUCUUUGAACGCACAUUGCGCCCUCUGGUAUUCCGGGGGACAUGCCUGUCCGAGCGUCAUUGCGAACCCCUCAAGCACGGCUUGUGUGAUGGGCCCUCCCGCGUCUUGGUCGUCAAGACGGGCCCGAAAUGCAGUGGCGGCUUCGCGGUUAUCCGAUCAGCCAGAGCGUAUGGGGACUUUCUCUCUGUCACACGCCCGCGGCGCGGACCGACGCCUGUCGACCUUCAUUCAUCGUUUUCUCGGUUGACCUCGGAUCAGGUAGGGAUACCCGCUGAACUUAAGC
rnacentral:misc_RNA from 1 species